GGGUGCGAUCAUACAGGCACUAAUGCACCGGAUCCCAUCAGAACUCCGAAGUUAAACGUGCUUGGGCGAGAGUAGUACUAAGAUGGGUGACCUCUUGGGAAGUCCUCGUGUUGCACCCC
rfam:Ricinus communis cultivar Hale ctg_1100012352819, whole genome shotgun sequence.